rnacentral:lncRNA from 1 species
CCUGAGAGAGAGAAAGUAGAGUAAACCAGACUCUACCAAGGGGCUUUCUUUAUCUUCUCUAAACAACCCUAGUAACCCACCUCUCUUUAUACACAUCUACCACUACCGCCACUACCAGUGCACCAGCAGCAACAGGAGCAGAGGACCCCUUUCCACUCUAUCCACUGCUCUCCCAAGAAGGAGGAGAAGAAGUUGAACAGCAAGACACCACAUGCAGAACAGCAAGACACUCACAUGCAGUCUAAAGAGCAUCGUACACCAGCGUAUCCUCUCUACCACUACAGUGAAAAAAGGAGACUCCCUAGAAGCAGGGACUGCUGGAGGCCACAUGGUCAAAGAGCAACACAGACCCAUCACCCCAAAGAUUUCAAACAACAGUAUCCAGCACAUUCCUGCAGUCUGAUGGGAGUACAGACGUUUUCAUGAGUCCCAUAGCAUCAAGGGAGGACCGGCUAAAGAUGGAUGUACCUGAUCCUCUGCAGCUGCUCCCAGUUACCUGGAGAAAUGUGGUGCCCAGCUCUGCAGAAAAUAUCCACAGAGAGGUCUGAGAAGCCCAAGGAAUGUGGGGAAUACCAGGCCCUCAGGAGCCCUGAGAGGAAAGAGUCUCUGCUCCUGCUGACUCUCCCCCACCCUGCCAGAGUCAGGCACCGCUGAAAAUCCCUGCAAUAUUGCCUUGUGGGGAAGAGGGCGGUAUUGCUAGAGAUGUUAGUACUGUGGAAAACACAUUUCUCCUACCUAGAGCUUUCACCAGUGGAGCAGAAGAUUGAUGACAGCUUGGCAGGAUUCGGGGGAGGAGACUGCUAACUUGACAAAGAAUCUAGUUUGAGUUCUGCUUGCUGGCUUCUCAAAUCCCUUGCAUUUACUGCAGGUGUGAACACCUGGCUCAUAGUCUUACUCUCCAGCCCGGAUAUAUAUUUUUCACCCCAUCUAACUUAUUUCCCUCCUCGACAUCUUAUAUCCAUGAAUAUGUGCCUGAAGACUCUGACUAUGUGGUAGAUUGUAAUCCAUACCCUUCCUCCCCUGUACUCGCACCCACAAGUUUCCCGCCAGUGUAGUCUUUGUUAACAGUUUUACUUAUUUUUCUAUAUCCUUUCCUUUAUAUGCACAUAUAUCUUUCUCUGUAUCGUUGUCUAAUACGUUCACCUGCCUGGUUAUUUGACUGGGGGACAGACAUUCUUAUUACUGAGAGAGGAAAAGCUACUGCACAAAUGAAACAAAAGCAAAGAAAAUACCCUGCUUGGCUUUUCUGGGCACAUGUAUGUUUACAAACAGUUGAUAUACAGUCAUAGGAGAGAGGAUGGAACACCCUCAUCAGGGAUGAUCAAAUGUGUAUCCACAAGGGUGCCCCAAAGUCAUAAUCCAGUUUUAAGCUUACUAAUUUUAGAAACAUAAAAAAUAAAACAAGUUUUUAAAAGUAAAAUUUGCAUGUUGAAUUAUUUGCCUAUAACUUACACUUUAAUUGUGUAUUUUUAAAGAUUAAUUUUAAUUUUUCUUUGUCACUUUGCUUGUCUUCAACUGGAGGGACAAAAACAAAAAAAUUAAAAUGUUCUUUAUAGUUCACAAAACUAUAUAAGAGAAAGGAAAUUAAAAUAGUUCAACUUUCAAAUGGUGGUCUAUCAUUUUUAGCUUUGCACUUCUGAAGUCAUUAAAGCUUGAAACUGCUGGCUGACUUUUGGGACAUAUAUACGUAUAUAUGUAUACAUACAAUGUGUGUAUAUAUAUAUAUAUUUUAAUGAACCCCUUGGUUUCUAUGAUAUUUAAAAUAAUUUUUAGAAAGUUUCAAGUUAUUGAUGAUUUUCUUGAAGCUUUUAUUUAUUCAUGAGACAUACAGAGAGGCAGAGACAUAGGUAGAGGGAGAAGCAGGCUCUCUGCGUGGAGCCCAAUGUGGGACUCAAUCACCCGACCUGGGAUCAUGCCCUGAGUGGAAGGCAGAUGCUCAACCACUGAGCCACCCAGGCGUCCCAAUAAAUAAAAUCUUAAGAAAAGAUGUGCCUUUGUAUAACCCCCUUCCUCGUCACUUGCUUCUUGCCAAUACAACAUGGUAAAGGUGAUGAGACAGUCACU